ensembl:lncRNA
AUGCGUUACUUGGUAUGCGGGCACACAUGCACGCACGCACGUGUGGAGUUUCUGCCCCUGAGCUUUGUGCUCAGGGCUCUUGGAAUCCCCCCCAGGAGCCCGGCCUCUUUCCCCUCCUGCCCUGGUCCUGGUGGGACAGCUGGCCGCUGGCUGAGGGGCUCUGCGGUGACCUCCGAUCAGAGCCCAAGGCGGUGCCUGUGCCCUGGGCUCCCUGCCCGGCCUUCAGGACCUGCUGCUGGGUCUGUCUCACCUGACCCUGCUCCAGCCCUGCCUCUAGAAGUGUCCAGACGGUCUGCAGAGGUGGGGCUGUGCCACCCCGGCGUGUGGCCUCAGGCAAGUCUUGUGAGCUCACAAGGGUCCAUUUUCUCAUCUAUAAACGGGACAGUGACCCAGGAACUCAGGGCACUUGGUGCUCCUUGGAACUGACUGCAUGGGUGUGUAUGGGGGUAGGGGGCCCAGAAGGGCCCCUGGGAUUUCAGGGGGCUCCAGAGCCCGGAUGCAGGAAGCCUGGGGGCUGUGUGGCUCAGGGAGCCACUCCUGGGGGCUUGGAACCCUCUGCUGCUCCCUGGAACCGAGGGACUGAAGCCUGAAGUUUCCUGCAGGGGCUGUGGGCGGCGGGUGAGUGCACACAGGCGCCUGUGGACUUGGAUGGGGCAGGUUAUCUGCACUGAAGACAUCUGAUCAGGAGCCUCUUUCCAGUCGAGGAGAAGCAGCGCCAGGAACAGUCAUUUGUGCCGACCCAAGGACCCCCGUUUCCACUCUCCUGGCGAGGGCGCCGAGGUUCCCGGCAGGAGACGUGCCCGUCCUGGACACCAGGGCUGCGGGCGUUCAUGAGGCUGUGCCGGGCCCCGGCUGCCAGCACUGUGAUGCCCGAGGCGGGGCGCCGAGGAGAAGGAGGCGAAACGUGGUGCCGUCUGUCUGAUUGGGUGAUUUGCUGUGAAGCCGGCGAGGAGCUGCGUCCUGAAUCAUGUCGGGGGUGUUACACAUGUAUCGGGGACAGACUUGUUCCUAAAUUAUCUUUUAUGAUCACCCGCGCGUCCGCGGGCGGCAGGUGUCGGCGCCUGAACCCGGCCAUUAUUUGUGGCUGCGGACCAGGCGUUAAUUAUCGACGCGCCUGCCCACCUCCUCGCCACCUCCAGUUAAAAUUCAUGGUCCGGCCACUCGGCAAAUAUUGAUUCUGACCCAAGUUGAUGUUUUCCCCUUAACAUUAUUAUAAUGAGGGAUAAAAAUCAAAUUGCCUUCCCUGAAACUCAAUCAUUCUCCUGUCCCGUGCCUCAUCGAUCUUCCUUUCCCCGGGUUUUACCAUAAAUUAUUCUAUUCAAUUAAGUAAACUCACACAUAAUGGCAUUUUG